UCCCUUAUACCUCACUCGGUAAAGAAUCUGCCUGCAAUGCAGGAGACCCAGGUUUGAUUCCUGGGUCGGGAA
rnacentral:tRNA from 1 species